rnacentral:rRNA from 1 species
AGCGAACGCUGGCGGCAGGCUUAACACAUGCAAGUCGAACGGGCACUUCGGUGUCAGUGGCAGACGGGUGAGUAACACGUGGGAACGUCACUUUUGGUUCGGAACAACUGAGGGAAACUUCAGCUAAUACCGGAUAAGCCCUUACGGGGAAAGAUUUAUCGCCGAAAGAUCGGCGCGCGUCUGAUUAGCUAGUUGGUAGGGUAAUGGCCUACCAAGGCGACGAUCAGUAGCUGGUCUGAGAGGAUGAUCAGCCACAUUGGGACUGAGACACGGCCCAAACUCCUACGGGAGGCAGCAGUGGGGAAUAUUGGACAAUGGGGGCAACCCUGAUCCAGCCAUGCCGCGUGAGUGAUGAAGGCCCUAGGGUUGUAAAGCUCUUUUGUGCGGGAAGAUAAUGACGGUACCGCAAGAAUAAGCCCCGGCUAACUUCGUGCCAGCCGCCGCCGUAA